rnacentral:rRNA from 1 species
UAGGGAAUCUUCCGCAAUGGGCGAAAGCCUGACGGAGCAACGCCGCGUGAGUGAUGAAGGUCUUCGGAUCGUAAAACUCUGUUAUUAGGGAAGAACAAAUGUGUAAGUAACUAUGCACGUCUUGACGGUACCUAAUCAGAAAGCCACGGCUAACUACGUGCCAGCAGCCGCGGUAAUACGUAGGUGGCAAGCGUUAUCCGGAAUUAUUGGGCGUAAAGCGCGCGUAGGCGGUUUUUUAAGUCUGAUGUGAAAGCCCACGGCUCAACCGGGGAGGGUCAUUGGAAACUGGAAAACUUGAGUGCAGAAGAGGAAAGGGGAAUUCCAUGUGUAGCGGUGAAAUGCGCAGAGAUAUGGAGGAACACCAGUGGCGAAGGCGACUUUCUGGUCUGUAACUGACGCUGAUGUGCGAAAGCGUGGGGAUCAAACAGG